CCCUUAGAUGUUCUGGGCAGCACGCGCGCUACAAUGGUCUUCGCAAACGGAUGCAUUCUCGAAGGAGAAUGCCAAUCUUGGAAUCUAUGCCUUGGUCGGGACAGUUGCUUGCAAUUUUUCGACUCGAACCAGGAAUUCCUUGUAAUCGUGAUUCAUCACAUCACGAUGAAUACGUCCCUGCCCUUGUACACACCGCCCGUCGCUCCUACCGAUCGAAGAGUUAGGUGAAUUGUUUUGAUCGAUAAGAUUUGACUAUGGUCAACUCUCGUUGUGAAAUUCUGUGAAUCUGACUGUUUAGAGGAAGGAAAAGUCGUAACA
rnacentral:rRNA from 1 species